AUGUUCGUACUUUCUGUAUGGAGCUGGGAGCGAUUGCCGGUUGGACGACCGAAGACUAUGAAGUACGAGGAUUGGGACGACAAAGAUGACCCACUACGGUUCCCCACUUGGGCUUACAAGUGGGAUGUGUUAAAUGAGACAACGGAUGAUCCCUCGAUCAUGUACAAGUUGUACACGAGCGAGAUGGACAUGAUUAUGGCGGAGCAGGUGACUCGACAUUGCAUAAGUGAUUCUCAUGCUUUUAUCGUAACUCGAAAUCAAUUUUGCAUUCUAUGCUAUGUUGCAGGUGGAAUGGGAGCCGUAUGGAAAAGGGGAUAG
rnacentral:rRNA from 1 species